UACGUAGGGGGCAAGCGUUGUCCGGAUUUAUUGGGCGUAAAGAGCGUGUAGGCGGCUUGGUAGGUCUCGCGUCAAAACCUGAGGCUCAACCUCAGUUCGCGUGGGAAACCACCUAGCUAGAGUCCGGAAGAGGAGAACGGAAUUCCCAGUGUAGCGGUGAAAUGCGCAGAUAUUGGGAAGAACACCAGUGGCGAAGGCGGUUCUCUGGGCAUUACCUGACGCUGAGGAGCGAAAGUGUGGGGAGCGAACAGG
rnacentral:rRNA from 1 species